rnacentral:lncRNA from 1 species
UGGUUUUCUUGGCCAUUUUAAAGGAGCUGGUUCUAUAUCAAGCACCUCAUCGUUCUCCUCAAGUAUUGCUUCAUCCACUUCUUGUGGAGGUGGCAAUAUUAUAAUCCCGGCAGUGGACACUAAAAAUCACAUGCACAGCAGAACUCAAAAGCUAUUAGAUCCAAAUAGUGUAUGUCUUACUCAUAAAAUCUCCAUUUAAAAAUCACAUGCAUAGCAGAACUCAAAAGCUAUUAGAUCCAAAUAGUGUAUGUCUUACUCAUAAAAUCUCCAUUAAUAUUCCUAAUAUGGAGAGUCAAUGAAAUUGUCAUACCAGCAUCAG